rnacentral:rRNA from 1 species
UACAGAGGGUGCAAGCGUUAAUCGGAUUUACUGGGCGUACAGGGAGCGUAGGCGGUUGGAUAAGCCCUCCGUGAAAUCUCCAGGCUUAACCUGGAAAGUGCAGAGGGGACUGUUCAGCUAGAGGAUGGGAGAGGAGCGCGGAAUUCCCGGUGUAGCGGUGAAAUGCGUAGAUAUCUGGAGGAAUACCGGUGGCGAAGGCGGCAUCCUGACCGAGAUUGACGCUGAUGAGCGAAAGCUAGGGGAGCAAACGGG